CCCGCCAGGGGGCGCUGCUGCUCGCGCCGCUGCCGCUGCUCGGGGCCGCCCGCCCGCCUGCCCCGCCGGUGGGGAGCGGGACGCGGCCUUAGUUCCACGGUGCCCCGCGAAAGUCCGGAAGGAAUUAUGGCCCGGGCAGCUCUCUGUUGCGAAGACCUGAAGGAAAUUGUGAUAUUACCACAUGGAGUAUCCACACGUGCAUCUGCAGAGGAAAGACUCCGGUUUAGAGACUAAAAAGAUUCAGUUUGGGGUAAGAGAGAAGGGGGAAUGAGGACCUCACACAAGAACUGACCUAAACACCAAAAAGAUUGAAAACUAAAUAUGCUUGAGGGAACCUAGCUUGAGCACCCAAGAGGAAGGUGCAAAGACCUGCAGUACAAAUUCUUCAGAGGUUGCCAGAGAAGAGCUUCUUCUGGAAGGCCAUGAGUUUUGCCAUGCAUUCUUUGCGAACUGAAGGGAGGUUUCUUUGAAGUAUCUCCAUCUGCUUGCAAACACCAGCUACUGCUGACUCAGCCCUGGGACAAGGACGUGGUCUUCUCUGAGACACUGUUCAUGCUGAGUAGCUAAGAGCAGGAAGAGAAGAGGCAGGAGAUUCCAGGACUGGCAGAUUGGGCAAACCCUAUUAUGCUAUCUGGUAGAAAAGCUGUUCACCGAUCCCAUGGUCAGAAUGCACCCAUCUGUUUGUGAGGGAAGACACUGAUCACUGGAAUUUGGAAAUGUGUUGACACAUUUAUGUGAUAGCAGUCACAAUGUUGAGAUGACACUAUGCUAUAAACAUAAGUUCAAGCCAGACGGAAGCCCUGGAGGAUGCUAACGCAGCGCUGUGAUAUGCUAAGUGUUUUUCAGGGCUGGUGACCUACGUGUGAAAGCCUAACAAGGAAGCAAAUGCAAAAACAAACUGGAGAAGAAAUGAAGAAACACCUCUUGCUGAGGAACCAGGCCUUUGUCAGAGUGGAGGAGCUGAGACGGGUUAAUACUCAGACAGGCUGCUGAAAUUCCAGUCUGGUUUUCUAAUUCAGAAGAACUACUGGAUUACAAAAAUGAAGAGCUGUUUAGUGAAUCCAUCCAAAAUCUCACUCCUGAUGAAGAGAGAAUUUGUGUUUACAGAACGGAAAGUAAGACAUGGCCAGUAAUUAAACAGGGAAUUUUUUGAGGGGAAGGGGGAACGUCAUUAAUCAGCCAUGGGGACAAAACACAAAGCAGCAAGAGCAAGAACCCAGACUCUCCUGGAAAUGGAAUGCUAACACCCAUCUUGUAUUUAAAAAAAGAUGCUGAGAUCCUCACACAAAGUUGUACUUCAGGUUCGCAUAUAGUAAGGAAGAGGCAAUGUCUAUGAAGAACUGGAUGUUUUCUUCACAAAUGUGCUGAUGGAGAAAAUGGUAAAACCUGAGGAUAAUGAAGGCAGAAGAAAAAACUUCUACGUGCUUCAGCUACA